UCCUUCAAACUUUUGGGAUUAAGGCAUUGUGUUCAAUCCUUGUUCUAGUUCGCCGAAAAUAAUAUAGAUUGAGUGCUCAACUAUAUUAUUGUAAUUCAUUUUAUCCUGGGAGACCGACACUACAACGCUCCUAGCACCAUGGGAGGUAGCGAAUUGGUUUUAAGGAAACUGUGUUAUAUACGACUUGGGUUUUUCCAUUACUGUUUCCAUUUCCAUUACCGGGCUGUUAUUUUCAGAUUUCUCAUUUAUAUUCGGAA